rnacentral:lncRNA from 1 species
GUCCGCCAUAUUGGAUAUCACCGGAAGUAAGGGUUUUAAAGACAUAUGUCUUAUACAUUGUAUCCAUGAGAAGCACCAAAGAAAGGUUCCUGCACAAUAUAAUGAUAGUAGCAAUACUUUAAAACACAUUUCAAUUACCCUCCCUAAAAAUAAGCUUAUUCUAGUACUAUAUCCGCCAUGUUGGAUUUUACCGGAAGUAGGGUUUUUGAAGACAUCUUAUCUAUAUCAUAUAUCCAAAAGUAGUACAAAACAAAGGUUUGUACUAAAUAUUAUGAUAGUAGCAUGUUAAUAACACCUUUUCACAUACUAGCCUUCGAUAUUGGGCUAAUUUAAGUAUGAUGUCCGCCAUUUUGGAUUUUACCGGAAGUGAGACAUUUUUUUCAAAUGCC